rnacentral:rRNA from 1 species
AUUGAACGCUGGCGGCAGGCCUAACACAUGCAAGUCGAGCGGACGAAGGGAGCUUGCUCCUGGAUUCAGCGGCGGACGGGUGAGUAAUGCCUAGGAAUCUGCCUGGUAGUGGGGGAUAACGUCCGGAAACGGGCGCUAAUACCGCAUACGUCCUGAGGGAGAAAGUGGGGGAUCUUCGGACCUCACGCUAUCAGAUGAGCCUAGGUCGGAUUAGCUAGUUGGUGGGGUAAAGGCCUACCAAGGCGACGAUCCGUAACUGGUCUGAGAGGAUGAUCAGUCACACUGGAACUGAGACACGGUCCAGACUCCUACGGGAGGCAGCAGUGGGGAAUAUUGGACAAUGGGCGAAAGCCUGAUCCAGCCAUGCCGCGUGUGUGAAGAAGGUCUUCGGAUUGUAAAGCACUUUAAGUUGGGAGGAAGGGCAGUAAGUUAAUACCUUGCUGUUUUGACGUUACCAACAGAAUAAGCACCGGCUAACUUCGUA